rnacentral:rRNA from 1 species
GUGCCAGCAGCCGCGGUAAGACGAACCGUCCUAACGUUGUUCGGAAUCACUGGGCUUAAAGGGCGCGUAGGCGGGUCACCAAGUCUGGGGUGAAAUCUUUCGGCUUAACCGGAAAAUUGCCUUGGAUACUGGUGGUCUCGAGGGAGGUAGGGGUCUGCGGAACUUCUGGUGGAGCGGUGAAAUGCGUUGAUAUCAGAAGGAACGCCGGUGGCGAAAGCGGCGGACUGGACCUUCACUGACGCUGAGGCGCGAAAGCUAGGGGAGCAAACGGGAUUAGAAACCCGCGUAGUCC